UCCAGCGUCAGGAGAUUGACUUUGGUAACUUGAACAAGUGAUACACUGUUACUUUGAGUUGCUGGAAAUGCUGGAUGGUUGUUGUGCUUUCGGGAUGCACUACGUGAGGAGGAGACAAGCCUGGGCUGUAUUACUAGCAUGGACCUGACAGAGUACGCAAAACAUGCCUCGGUGGUUUUUGUCCGAGAAAAGGGAAACUCGCAGAGGCGGCCUGCUGACUAUUAUGCUCAAACCGGGUGUAAUGAGCUUUAUGUUACCUCUGACAGAAGUACAGUCAUUGAAAAAGGAAGACAGGGUUUUUGGAUUAAAGAGCAGCAGACCACAAUCCACCAGCCAGAUCAACCGGACCAGGCACCACGGCGGUGCGGUGAUCGCUCAGAGGAGAGGAAAGAGAGCCGGGAUAGGAGUCAUGUUGGCCCAGCUUUGACUUAAGGCUGAUCCUGGACAAAUUGGGACUCAUGUUGGCCAAGCAACAGAAAUCAAAGACUGUUGUGCCCACAUCAUUACAGAGACCUGCCCCAUUGACGUCCCAGAUCAAGCAACUGCCGGGGGUCAGUGUACUGAGCGCAAGACUCUGGCAAGAUGAGAGGAGGCGGACUCUGUGUUGAAGCAGUCAAAAUGGACUGUUUCCCAAAUGUCAGACUUUUUAAUGUGAAGAUGAAACCAGAUUAUGAUCUUGUUGUUGUCGUUUAAAUUCUCCCCAGAUACAAAUUUU